AAAACAUGUCUUUUUGGAAAUAAUUUAAAGUCUAAUCUGCCCACUGAUAAAUAUUAAAGGGCUGCAGUAUAUUGACUGUACAAAGGUAGCAUAAUCAUUAGUCUUUUAAUUGAAGACUUGUAUGAAAGAUUUAAUGAAAUAUAAACUGUCUCUUAUUUAUAAUUAGAAUUUAAUUUUUUAGUUAAAAAGCUAAAAUAAAUUUAAAAGACGAGAAGACCCUAUAGAGUUUUAUAAUUAAUUUAUUUUAGAUUAUAUAUAUAAUUUAAAAUUAAAAAUAAAUUAAUUAUUUUAUUGGGGUGAUAGAAAAAUUAAAUAAACUUUUUUUAAAUAUAGUCAUAAAUAAAUGAUUAAAUGAUCCAUUAAUAAUGAUUAAAAGAAAAAAUUACCUUAGGGAUAACAGCGUAAUUUUUUUUUUUAGUUCAAAUAAAAAAAAGAGAUUGCGACCUCGAUGUUGGAUUAAGAUAAAAUAUAAAUGCAAAAGUUUAAAAUUUUGAUCUGUUCGAUCAUUAAAAUCUUACAUGAUCUG
rnacentral:rRNA from 1 species